UCAAGAUCUGGGACCUGGAUGUGCGCGGACACCAUCAUGGCCUGUGGCGCUUCACGUACUACGACAACAACGUCCUGCUGUUCGGCGUGCCGAUCACCAUGUACAUGAACGAUGUCGUGAAACACUUCUCUCACCCGGUGCAAGUUGUCUCAAGUUUGAAACAUGCAGAGUGAAAAUGUUGUCUGGCUGCAACAGUGCCGUCUUAUGGAGCCAUGUUUAGACGCCGGUAUUUUUGAGCUCACAGCAGCUAUUCAAGUCUACUGGCUUUGAAUUAGCUGGAAGUUGAGCGCGCACGAAAUUUGUCGAUUCAAAGCAGGUAUUCCGUUAUUUGCUGUUAUUGCAGCAAUUGACUCAUGUCAUCCAUGCUUAUCUCCGAUGAUUUUUGUUAGCGUCUUGGGUGUCUUUGCAAACACCACAUUUGUGCCCCUGUCAAUCGUGUCCUGUAGUGCACCUGGGUCGCGUUUACCAUCUGACGAUGAGCACGAGACUGGUUCUAAACCGUAUGUGAAAAUAAACAUAACCAUUUUUCGCAUCA